rnacentral:tRNA from 1 species
AUCUUUUUGGCAGAAAAUUGCAUUAGACUUAGACUCUAAAUACACUA